rnacentral:misc_RNA from 1 species
UGCAUCCAAGAGGAUCCAUCUCUAAGACCGUCCGUGAGGACUGUGACACAGAUGCUUGAAGGCGUUGUUCAAGUUUCUGUGCCACCAUGUCCUUCCCCAUUUAGUUCAAUCUGCUGAAACUAUCCUUUUGUCAUUUCUUUAGUUGUAUAACUCCUAGCAUCAUUAGAUAUUGAAUUCAAUAUUGUCGAUUAUUUCUGUAUCCAUUCACAGGGUCCAUG